GGAGGAUUAGCUCAGCUGGGAGAGCAUCUGCCUUACAAGCAGAGGGUCGGCGGUUCGAUCCCGUCAUCCUCCA
rfam:Bacillus glycinifermentans strain GO-13 contig_4, whole genome shotgun sequence.